GAGAAGAUGGUUGAGUGGUUUAAGACAACGGUUUGCUAAAUCGUCACAUAAUAUAAAAUUUUUAUGUCAUGGGUUCGAAUCCCAUUCUUCUCA
rnacentral:tRNA from 1 species